rnacentral:rRNA from 1 species
CAGUGGGGAAUAUUGGGCAAUGGAGGGAACUCUGACCCAGCGACGCCGCGUGCGGGAUGAAGGCCUUCGGGUUGUAAACCGCUUUCAGCAAGGAAGAAGCGAAAGUGACGGUACUUGCAGAAGAAGCACCGGCUAACUAUGUGCCAGCAGCCGCGGUAAUACAUAGGGUGCAAGCGUUGUCCGGAAUUAUUGGGCGUAAAGAGCUCGUAGGUGGUUCGUCACGUCGGAUGUGAAAAUCUGGGGCUUAACCCCAGACCUGCAUUCGAUACGGGCGAGCUAGAGUGUGGUAGGGGAGACUGGAAUUCCUGGUGUAGCGGUGGAAUGCGCAGAUAUCAGGAGGAACACCAAUGGCGAAGGCAGGUCUCUGGGCCAUUACUGACACUGAGGAGCGAAAGCGUGGGGAGCGAACAGGAUUAGAUACCCCCGUAGUCCGGUC